AAUCUCGGCACCUUCGGUGUCCGAGUUGUAAUCUCUAGAAGUGUUUUCCGCGUUGGACCGCACACAAGUCUGUUGGAAUACAGCGGCAUAGUGGUGAGACCCCCGUAUAUGGUGCGGACGCCCAACGCUUUGUGAUACACUUUCGAAGAGUCGAGUUGUUUGGGAAUGCAGCUCAAAUUGGGUGGUAAAUUCCAUCUAAAGCUAAAUAUUGGCGAGAGACCGAUAGCGAACAAGUACCGUGAGGGAAAGAUGAAAAGCACUUUGGAAAGAGAGUUAACAGUACGUGAAAUUGUUGGAAGGGAAACGCUUGAAGUCAGACUUGCUUGCCGAGCAAUCGGUUUGCAGGCCAGCAUCAGUUUUCCGGGGUGGAUAAUGGUAGAGAGAAGGUAGCAGUUUCGGCUGUGUUAUAGCUCUUUGCUGGAUACACCUUGGGGGACUGAGGAACGCAGUGUGCCUUACGGCGGAUUUCUCGAGAUCUUCACACUUAGGAUGCUGGUGGAAUGGCUUUAAACGACCCGUCUU
rnacentral:rRNA from 1 species